GAACGCUGAAGCUUGGUGCUUGCACCGAGCGGAUGAGUUGCGAACGGGUGAGUAACGCGUAGGUAACCUGCCUCUUAGCGGGGGAUAACUAUUGGAAACGAUAGCUAAUACCGCAUAAAAGUCGAUAUCGCAUGAUAUUGAUUUGAAAGGUGCAAUUGCAUCACUAAGAGAUGGACCUGCGUUGUAUUAGCUAGUUGGUGAGGUAACGGCUCACCAAGGCGACGAUACAUAGCCGACCUGAGAGGGUGAUCGGCCACACUGGGACUGAGACACGGCCCAGACUCCUACGGGAGGCAGCAGUAGGGAAUCUUCGGCAAUGGGGGCAACCCUGACCGAGCAACGCCGCGUGAGUGAAGAAGGUUUUCGGAUCGUAAAGCUCUGUUGUAAGAGAAGAACGAGUGUGAGAGUGGAAAGUUCACACUGUGACGGUAACUUACCAGAAAGGGACGGCUAACUACGUGCCAGCAGCCGCGGUAAUACGUAGGUCCCGAGCGUUAUCCGGAUUUAUUGGGCGUAAAGCGAGCGCAGGCGGUUAGAUAAGUCUGAAGUUAAAGGCUGUGGCUUAACCAUAGUACGCUUUGGAAACUGUUUAACUUGAGUGCAGAAGGGGAGAGUGGAAUUCCAUGUGUAGCGGUGAAAUGCGUAGAUAUAUGGAGGAA
rnacentral:rRNA from 1 species